rnacentral:rRNA from 1 species
CCACAAGGGGUGAAGCCUGCGGUUCAAUUGGAGUCAACGCCAGGAAACUUACCAGGAGAGACAGCAGGUUGAGGGUCAGUCUGAAGAACUUACCUGACGAGCUGAGAGGAGGUGCAUGGCCGUCGCCAGCUCGUGCCGUGAGGCGUCCUGUUAAGUCAGGCAACGAGCGAGACCCCUAUCGGUAAUUGCUAACUGCCCAGAGAUGGGUAGAGGCUAGUUACAGAGACUGCCGUUGAUAAAACGGAGGAAGGAAGGGGCCACGGCAGGUCAGUAUGCCCCGAAACUCCUGGGCCACACGCGGGCUGCAAUGGUAGGGACAAUAGGUUCCGACCUCGAAAGAGGAAGGCAAUCCCCAAACCCUACCCCAGUUGUGAUCGAGGAUUGAAACCCGUCCUCGUGAAUAUGGAAUCCCUAGUAACCGCGUGUCAUCACCGCGCGGUGAAUACGUCCCUGCUCCUUGC